AUUAGGAAGAAUUGAAAGACAAACUUACUCAUUUGUUCUUAGACUUCACAAUAGACUUUAGAAUUUUUUUAUCUUUUCUUUAUUUUUUAUAAACGAUUUUUGGGAAGGAAAAUAAAGAUAGUAUCAGUACAUUUACUAAACAGGACCUUGAAUUAGGGCUUGUAGAACUCAAGUUCAUGGGUGAAGAACAAAAUUACCCAGAGGCAAAGAACAUCUUGAGAGGUCAUUGGACCCAUCUUUAUGGAUAAUAUAAGCCAGAAAAAAAGGGGCUUACAGUUUGCCACAGAUCAUGGAGGAGACUUGGGACUUGGAUUUUUCAGCAAUGUUGAAGCUGUUAGGACUUUGGCAACUCUUGGAGGUGGACUAAAUGUCUUUUGUAUAAAGGAUGUACAUGAGUCCUGGGGGCCAGGGGUGGAAUGUCAUGGUUUAUGUCUGUGUCCCCCAGGCCUCAUGAGUUUGCAUUGUUCAUAUGUGAUGGUUCAUUGUAUAGUGCUUGGAUUGAUGGUGUCAGUGCUCCACCCACAUAGGGGUGGAGCCAGGAUGUGAUGUAAUGGCAGGAAGAAGGUGUAUCUUUCUCUUUGCUGGUUUCUGUUUGCUGUUUGCAGCCGCCAUGAACGGCGGUCCAGCCAUGCCCACCUGUCUUGGAGCCAACUGAGUGUGGACUGAAACCUCCAAAAACUGUAAGAAAUAAACCUUUCCUUUCCCAACUUGAGCAUCAGGUAUUUUGUCUCAGCGAUGAGCAUAAAGUGACUAAGACACAUCCUUUUUAAUUUUUGUUUUCAUUCGAAGGGAUUUUAUGUUGAUGUAAAGCUAAACAAUAGAUUCAGCAAGAACAAAGUUCACAGUACAAUAGUGCUCCAAAAUGUAUAUCAGUUCAAAAGAAAACAGGGCUGCUCAAAACAUAGAAUCUUUUUUUUGUUGUUAAAGCCAAAUUUAACUCAGAGAAGACAAUUCUGAACAUAUCAGGUGUUCUAUAGCUUCUUGCUUUGAGUUAAUCAGAAUCCAUAAAUGUUUCUUACAGGAGUUCCAGCACACUGGCUUGAGCCUGGGGAGAGUUUAAGAUCAUUGCUCCCAGCGGUUAAGGACCCACCCAGUGUCCAGCCACACUAGACUGGGCUUUGCAGGUUUCAUGGACCUAGCUGGGCUACGCACAGAGACCUUCUUUCAAUCUGGGGAAACAAUCAGCUACACAAAGCAAGUAUUAACAGAAAUGAAAAAUCAAAUAAGCAAUAACACAAUUAAACAAGAGACCUUAAUACAUUAUUGACACCAAGGGACAGAAAAUCAGUAAAGAAAUAACAGAACUGAAUCCCACAUGUGAACAAAUGGACUUGACAGAUAUAUACAGUGUUCCAUCCAACAACAUCAGAACAUACAUUCUUCUCAGUGGUACAUGGGACAGUUUUUAAAAUAGACCAUAUACUAGCCCACAGAACAUAUUUAAGUAAAUGCAAAAGAGUUGAAAUUAUCCCAUGCAUGUUAUCAGAUCAUAGUGCCAUUAAACUAGAAAUCAAUGAUAAAAGAAACUGCAAAAACACCACAAAUACAUGGAAAUUGAAUAAUAUACUCCUAACUAGUCAGUGGGUCAUAGAGGAAAUUAAAGAAGAAAUGAAACAAUACUGAUAAGCAAACAAAAAUACAAAUACAACUUCCCAGAAUCUGUGGGAUGCAAUGAAAGUGGUCCAUAGAGGAACAUUUACUGCACUGAGUUCCCAUAUCAUGAAAACAAAUAAACAACCUGAUGCUACACCUUAAACAUCUAGGAAAAGAAGAGCAAGUCAAGCCCAAAGCCAAAAGAAGGAAGGAAAUUAUAAAAAUCAGAGCAGAAAUUAACACAAUAGAGACUAAGAAAAUAAUCCAAAGAAUCAACGAAUCGAAGAGUUGGCUCUUUGAAAGAAUAAAUAAAAUUGAUAAGCCCCUAGCUAACCUUAUUUAAACAAGGAAAUAAAAAGCUCAAAUUCAUGCAAUAAGGAAUGAAAAAGGUGAAAUCACUACAGACUGUGGAAAUACAGAAGAUCAUCAAUACCUAUUUCAAAAACCUCUACUCUCAUAGGUUCCAUAACACAGAAGAAAUGGACAGAAUUCUAGAAACAUAUGUGAAGUACCAAAGCUUGGUCAAGAAGAUGUAAAACUGCUGAAUAACCCAAUUUCUAUUAAUGAAUUAAGUCCUUACCUACAAAGAAGAGCUCAGGCUCAGAUGGAUUCACUGUGGAAUUCUACAAGACAUACAAAGAAGACUUAAUGUUGACACUCCUCAAACUCUUCAAUGAAAUUGAAAGGGAAGCAAUUCUUCCUAAGUCAUUCCUGGAAGAAAAUAUUACUCUAGUACCAAAACCUGAGAAAGACCCAGCUAAAAAAGAGAACUACAGGACAAUCUCACUAAUGAACAUAGAUGCAAAAAUGCUCAAUAAAAUAUUGGCAAACAGGAUGCAGCAAAUCAUCAAGAAGAUUAUACACCAUGACCAAGUAGGAUUAAUCCCGGGCAUGUAGGGAUGGUUCAACAUACAGAAAUCAAUAAAUGUAAUCCACCAUAUCAGCCAAAAGUAAGAAUCACAAAAUCAUUUCUAUAGAUGCAGAAAAAGCUUUAGAUAAGAUCCAACAUUCAUUCAUGAUAAGAACCUUACAGAAAAUUAGAAUAGAUGGUCUUUACUUCAAUAUGAUAAAGGCCAUCUAUGACAAAUCAAUAGCCAACAUCAUAUUAAAUGGCCAGAAACUGAAAGCCUUUACCCUAAAAUCAGGAUGUCACUUAUCACCACUCUUAUUGAACAUAGUACUGGAAAUACUAGCUGGAGCAAUUAGACAAGAGAAAGAAAUAAAAGGAGCAAAGAUAGGAAAAGAGGAAGUUAAAUUAUCAUUAUUUGCAGACAACAUGAUACUCUAUAUAGAAGACCCUCAAAACUCCAUUGAAAGACUGUCAUAGUUUAUGUCUGUGUCCCCCAGGCCUCAUGAGUUUAAAAUGUCCAUUUGUUAUUUGUUCAUUGUCUAGUGCUUGGAUUGAUGGUGUCAGUGUUCCACCCACCUAGGGGUGGAGCCAGGAUGCGAUGUAAUGGCAGGAAGAAGGUGUGUCUUGCCUUUUGCUGGUUCCUGUUUGCUGUUUGCAGCCGCCAUGAAUGGCGGUCCAGCCAUGCCUGACUGCCUUGGAGCCAACUGAGUGUGGACUGAAACUUCCAAAAACUGUAAGAAAUAAACCUUUCCUUUCCCAACUUGGGCUUCAGGUAUUUUGUCCCAGCAACAAGUAAAAAGUAACUAAGACAGAAUUCUAGAUAAAAUAAAUAAAUUCAGCAAUGUAGCUGGAUACAAAGUCAAUUCUCAAAGAUCAGUGGUAUUCCUAUACAAUAACAACAAUAUCACUGAGAGAUAAAUAAGAGAAACUGCAUCCUUCACACUAGCAUCCAAAAAAAAUGAAAUACUUAGGAAUUAAUCUUACAAAAGAAGUAAAAGAUCUAUACAUGGACUAUUAUAAUAUCCUGAAAAAAAUUGAAGAAGAUCUCAGAAAAUGGAAGGACAUCCCUUGUUCAUGGAUAGGAAGAAUAAAUAUUGUGAAAAUGGCCAUUCUCCCAAGACUCAUAUACAGAUUCAACGCAAUCCCUAUGAAAAUACCAUCAACAUACCUUAUAGAUCUAGAGAAAUCACUCCUAAAAUUCAUCUGGAACCAGAAGAGAUCUAGAAUAGCAAAGGCAAUUCUAAACAGCAAAGGCAAGGCAGGAGGCAUCACAAUCACUAACUUGAAAUUAUACUACAAAGCUACUGUAAUACAAUCAACAUGGUACUGAAAUAAAAACAUCUGAAGAUCAAUGGAAGAGAUUAGAAGAUACAACUACAAAUACACUCAACCACCUUAUCUUUGAUAAAGGGGCCAAACAUGUUCACUGUAAGAACGACAGUCUCUUUAAUAAAUAGUGCUGGAAAAACUGGCUCUCCAUAUGCCAAAAACUAACACUAGACCCACGCCUAUCACCAUAUACUAAACUAAAAGUUUCUACAUGUCAAAAGAAAUCUCCAGCACAGUGAAAAGUAAACCCACAAACUGGCAAAAUAUCUUAGUGAACUGUCCCUCAGACAAAGGAGGGAUACAUGUUUAUAGAAGCACAAUUUGUAAUAGCCAGAUCUUGGAAAAACUUAAGUGUCCAUCAACUGAGGAAUGGAUAAAAAAAAGUUGUGGUAUUUUUAUACAAUGGAGUACUACUCAGCUAUAAAGAAUGAUCACAUGAGAUAUUUGUAAAUACAUGGACACACUUGAGACCAUACUCAUAAGUGAAAUAAAUCAAACCCACAUGUAUAAAUACCAUAUAUUCUCCCUAGUGUAAGAAAUGGUAAGAGUACCUACGAUUUUAUGGUAAUCAUUAUUCUCCAUUGCAUUGCUUUGAAGCCUUAUCAUGUUUUUAUUCAUUAGUUGGAAUGGUUUUAUUCUCUUUUAUUUGAUUUUCUUAUCUGUGAUAGUAUGAACAGAUAGUUUGAAGAAAACAAGACAUUAUGACAGCCAUUGUUGUUUUAAUAUCAUCUUGCUUUGAAGUCCUACCAUGCUUUUGUUCUUCUGUUUCCAUUGGUUCUAUCAUGUUGUAUCUUAUUGGAUUUUAAUAUGUGUGAUAAUAUAAACAAAUUUUUUAUGGAAAAUGAGAUAAUACAGUAGUCAUUGUUCGUUUUCUGCUAUUUGGUUCUUAGUGCCCUGUAAUACUUUCGUUCUCUUGAAUGGUUUUAUACUAUUUUGUUAUGUUUGAUACUGUGGUGUGUGAAGGUAUGCUCAACUAUUUCAAAGAAAGACACUAUGGUAGCUAAUAUUGGGUUGUCUUGUGGUGAAGUACUAUGUUACUUACAUUGCUCUGUUGUGAUCUGCAUUUUUCUGUCCUCUUUGGUCUUAAUCUCUUUAAAAUAAAAAAAAAUUUUAAAUUUCUUACAAA